rnacentral:rRNA from 1 species
UACGUAGGGGGCAAGCGUUGUCCGGAAUCAUUGGGCGUAAAGCGCGUGUAGGCGGCUCGGUAAGUCUGCUGUGAAAGUCCAGGGCUCAACCCUGGGAUGCCGGUGGAUACUGUCGAGCUCGAGUCCGGAAGAGGAGAGUGGAAUUCCUGGUGUAGCGGUGAAAUGCGCAGAUAUCAGGAAGAACACCUAUGGCGAAGGCAGCUCUCUGGGAGGGUACUGACGCUGAGACGCGAAAGCGUGGGGAGCGAACAGG